rnacentral:rRNA from 1 species
CCUACGGGUGGCAGCAGUGAGGAAUAUUGGUCAAUGGACGAGAGUCUGAACCAGCCAAGUAGCGUGAAGGAUGACUGCCCUAUGGGUUGUAAACUUCUUUUAUCAAGGCAUAAAACGACCCACGUGUGCAUUUUUGCAUGUACUUUAUGAAUAAGGAUCGGCUAACUCCGUGCCAGCAGCCGCGGUAAUACGGAGGAUCCGAGCGUUAUCCGGAUUUAUUGGGUUUAAAGGGAGCGUAGAUGGGUUGUUAAGUCAGUUGUGAAAGUUUGCGGCUCAACCGUAAAAUUGCAAUUGAUACUGGCAGUCUUGAGUACAGUUGAGGUAGGCGGAAUUCAUGGUGUAGCGGUGAAAUGCUUAGAUAUCACGAAGAACACCGAUUGCGAAGGCAGCUUACUAAACUAUGACUGACAUUGAUGCUCGAAAGUGUGGGGAUCAAACAGGAUUAGAUACCCCAGUAGUC